rnacentral:rRNA from 1 species
ACGGAAGGCAGCAGUGGGGAAUAUUGCACAAUGGGCGAAAGCCUGAUGCAGCAACGCCGCGUGAGGGAUGAAGGUUUUCGGAUUGUAAACCUCUGUCUUCGGUGAAGAUAAUGACAUUAGCCGAGGAGGAAGCCACGGCUAACUACGUGCCAGCAGCCGCGGUAAUACGUAGGUGGCAAGCGUUGUCCGGAUUUACUGGGUGUAAAGGGAGCGCAGGCGGGAAAGCAAGUCAGCGGUGAAAUGCAUAGGCUUAACCUAUGAACUGCCGUUGAAACUGUUUUUCUUGAGUGGAGUAGAGGCAAGCGGAAUUCCGAGUGUAGCGGUGAAAUGCGUAGAUAUUCGGAGGAACACCAGUGGCGAAGGCGGCUUGCUGGGCUCUAACUGACGCUGAGGCUCGAAAGUGUGGGGAGCAAACAGGAUUAGAUACCCUGGUA